rnacentral:rRNA from 1 species
UACGGAGGAUCCGAGCGUUAUCCGGAUUUAUUGGGUUUAAAGGGAGCGUAGGCGGACGCUUAAGUCAGUUGUGAAAGUUUGCGGCUCAACCGUAAAAUUGCAGUUGAUACUGGGUGUCUUGAGUACAGUAGAGGCAGGCGGAAUUCGUGGUGUAGCGGUGAAAUGCUUAGAUAUCACGAAGAACUCCGAUUGCGAAGGCAGCCUGCUGGACUGUAACUGACGCUGAUGCUCGAAAGUGUGGGUAU